rnacentral:lncRNA from 1 species
AAACAGGAUCUCAGAGGCUGGCAACUCUUUGGGGGGGAAUAACACGCAGAAAACACUACUAUCGCUAAUAUUUUCAAGGGGGUUUGAUGUCCCAGAGCUUUCACACCUCCACACAAGAUGGCCAGCCUCGUAGGGUAGGAUGAGGAGGAGGAAGAGGAAGCUGCACUCUUCCUCCUUUCGAUAGCGCAGAGGCGAGGAGCAGAUGGUGCGAGAGAUUGGAAACAUCGUCUGGAGUCGGCCAACCCUGGGCUAAUGGCAAGCUGUGCUGGCAGCGCCGCCCAAACAGUAGCAGAAACUGAGGGCGCCGGGAUAAAACUCUCUUCUCCACAGAUCUAGUGCGGAUGCCUUGUCUAGAAUCAGUUUCAUCGAAACAAACUGGCAUUGGUCUAAAUCCACAAAAUUCCUAACACCUGGCAGGAGAUGCUGCGGGGUAAACCCAGUGUUACCUUUGGAGAAAGUACCAUCACUGAGGUAGUUUCUAUGCAACGACGAAACGUUCAGUGGGGUGGCCGGGUCAGUGCACCAGGGCCCAGAAGAAGCCCCAGUGGAUUGUGGGGGUGGGAGUGGCAGAGAACAGCCAUCUGCUGCAGGAGAACAGCUAUUUUUCAUCAAGGGAGAGAAAAGACACAAAUGAACAUCAUUGAUCACAAACCAAACUAACUUCAGCCAGAGCAAGUGGAUCUAUGAGUCCUGCAGCCAACGCUGUCAGCCUGGGUUAGAAUCUUAAUCCUCUGAAUAUAUUGCACUGAGUUACCCAAGACCCUUCGAACAAUCUACCUGCAAAGCAGACAUCUAUGCAAUAAGGGGAACCUAACAUGCUAAUUUACAACUCUAUUUUUAUUCUUGGUAAAGUAGGUUUGUAUGACUCACUGUUUAAAAUAUACCUUAUUGAUCUUAGGCGUCUUGCUGCUUAAUUCAUCUCCUGUCUUUACCCAUUUCUCUUUAAGGGCAACCUCCAUUUAAGCCAUUGGUCCUCAAACUUUGGUGCAAACCCUGCUAGUAUGGCACAGACCCACUGAAGGAGCAACAUGGAUCACCAGGAUAAAAAUAGUUUAAAAAGUUAAAAUUUAAUUAGUAGGAUUUUUUGUUGUUGUUGAAAAAAUUAUUUAAAAACAAAACAUAAAAAAUCUGAUGGUGUGUAGUGGGGUGAAUAUUUUUUCCCUAUUUAAUGUGAGAACCACUGCUUUAGCCUUAUAUACUGUAGCCUUAUAUAUCUUAGUAAAAAGGGAGAUUUAUGUAAUAAAAACAGUAUCACCUGAAGUAAUUCAACACAGUAUGGAGUUAAACUAAAGUCAAACAGCAGAAACCUUGACCUAUCAAACACAGACGUACUUAAUACUGCUUUACAGCAGCUGCUGGAACAGCACUGCAGUUCUUGUUACACCUUUGUCUCACCUGCCUCUGCUUUUUUGUUUUUUUAACCUCAAGCCGGCACUGCUUUUCAAACACAGCAGGAAAAUAGUUCUUGUACCUAAUAAUAUUAUUUAAUAAAACUCAAUUUGGCUUCUACCUACUUAUGUGAUUCAUAUAAAACUGAGUCUGCCUCUUACCUUGAGU